rnacentral:ncRNA from 1 species
CAUCGCAAAGGAAAUGGUGUCUUCCUAUUUGAACCGUCCCGAUUCAACUCGCGACUGAUGGCGCCUACAAAUAG